AGAGUUUGAUCCUGGCUCAGGAUGAACGCUAGCUACAGGCUUAACACAUGCAAGUCGAGGGGAAACGAUAGAGAAAGCUUGCUUUUUAUAGGCGUCGACCGGCGCACGGGUGAGUAACGCGUAUCCAACCUGCCCAUCACUUGGGGAUAACCUUGCGAAAGUAAGACUAAUACCCAAUGACGUCUCUAGAAGACAUCUGAAAGAGAUUAAAGAUUUAUCGGUGAUGGAUGGGGAUGCGUCUGAUUAGCUUGUUGGCGGGGUAACGGCCCACCAAGGCGACGAUCAGUAGGGGUUCUGAGAGGAAGGUCCCCCACAUUGGAACUGAGACACGGUCCAAACUCCUACGGGAGGCAGCAGUGAGGAAUAUUGGUCAAUGGGCGAGAGCCUGAACCAGCCAAGUAGCGUGCAGGAUGACGGCCCUAUGGGUUGUAAACUGCUUUUAUAAGGGAAUAAAGUGAGUCUCGUGAGACUUUUUGCAUGUACCUUAUGAAUAAGGACCGGCUAAUUCCGUGCCAGCAGCCGCGGUAAUACGGAAGGUCCGGGCGUUAUCCGGAUUUAUUGGGUUUAAAGGGAGCGUAGGCCGGAGAUUAAGCGUGUUGUGAAAUGUAGAUGCUCAACAUCUGCACUGCAGCGCGAACUGGUUUCCUUGAGUACGCACAAAGUGGGCGGAAUUCGUGGUGUAGCGGUGAAAUGCUUAGAUAUCACGAAGAACUCCGAUUGCGAAGGCAGCUCACUGGAGCGCAACUGACGCUGAAGCUCGAAAGUGCGGGUAUCGAACAGGAUUAGAUACCCUGGUAGUCCGCACGGUAAACGAUGGAUGCCCGCUGUUGGUCUGAAUAGGUCAGCGGCCAAGCGAAAGCAUUAAGCAUCCCACCUGGGGAGUACGCCGGCAACGGUGAAACUCAAAGGAAUUGACGGGGGCCCG
rnacentral:rRNA from 1 species